GUCGACGUCGGUAGAGCAAAACGGCGCCGUUUUACUCGAUUCUACCACCGGCUCCGGUGGUGGAGUUGCUAAUAGUAAUGGUGCUUUGACGGUGAAGAAACCGCCGGCGAAGGACCGACAUAGUAAAGUUGAUGGAAGAGGGAGACGUAUAAGGAUGCCAAUUGUUUGUGCUGCUAGGGUUUUUCAGCUAACUCGUGAACUAGGUCAUAAAUCCGAUGGACAAACAAUUGAAUGGCUGUUGCGUCAAGCUGAACCUUCGAUUAUUGCUGCUACUGGUACUGGUACUAUACCUGCUAGUUUCUCUACUGUUUCAGUUUCGUUACGAAAUUCGAUUUCUUCUGUUACUGCUUCUGCUCCGGUUGAUCAUAAGUUGCCGUCGCCGUCGCCGUCGUUGUUACAUCCGUUGAUUUCUCCGGCGCCGUUUUUGCUUGGUAAGCGUUUACGUUCUGAGGAUGAUGAUAAUGGAAGUGGAGAUAAGGAUGUGGUUCCUAGUGCUGGAUUUUGGGCAGUUCCUGCUAGGCCGGAUUUUGGACAAGUUUGGAGUUUCGCUGCACCGUCGCCGGAGAUUUCACAUUCCGCUGCAGCAGCGAUGAAUACGCAGCCAUCGAGGUUUCUUCAGCAGCAGAUGGAAGAGGCAUCAGCUGGUAGAGUUGGGAAUUACUUUCCUAUAGCUCAAGGGCAUCUGAAUUUGCUAGCUUCUCUAUCUGGUUCGGGUUCUGGACCGAGAAGGGACGACGAUGGACAAUGAAGUAUUUGCUGUUUAUGAUAUGUAUAAAUUGAGUAUUGUUGUUGUUGUUUGUUCGUAUUGUUAAUUGUUAGGGAUUAGGUAGUGUAGCGAGUGAGAAAUGAAGCUAGGUUUUGUUGCAAUUUGUUGAAUUAUUGCUAGGAUUAGAGUGUUUGCUUGUUCGUUCGAUUGAUCGUUGCAUUUGUUAGGGUUUCAGUUCAUUUAAGUUAUGAGUGAUGUAGCCAUGAAAAGAGAAAGAUAAAACGAGACGCAAGAAUCUAAGGGAGUUUCUUGUGAUCGAUGAAUUUGGUUGGAAUUACCACUACAAGCACAGAACUGCUCAAUAAGUGCUUGACCAUUUCGAUAAUGGUGAGUGGAUAAGACAGUUAUUUAAGUGUGGUCUACGAAAACCUGUAGUUCCGCAUCAAUGUUUUUUGUAACGAAACCAUGGAGGUUUCUGAUGAAUGAAUUGAAUUCUGUAAUUUGUUGAAACUUUCA
rnacentral:misc_RNA from 1 species